rnacentral:rRNA from 1 species
UACGAAGGGUGCAAGCGUUAAUCGGAAUUACUGGGCGUAAAGCGCGCGUAGGUGAUUCAGUAAGUUGGAAGUGAAAUCCCCGGGCUCAACCUGGGAACUGCUUUCAAAACUGCUGAGCUAGAGUACGGUAGAGGGUGGUGGAAUUUCCUGUGUAGCGGUGAAAUGCGUAGAUAUAGGAAGGAACACCAGUGGCGAAGGCGACCACCUGGACUGAUACCGACACUGAGGUGCGAAAGCGUGGGGAGCAAACAGG